AAAAUAAUUAAGGGAUUCAGGUUCUGUGUGUGCAUGAUGGACACUUUGUAACUGCUUUUACUUUUAAUCUUUUACUCUCACUAACACUAUUACCAGUCAAAUUGUGUGCAUGAGUUCUUAUGAAUUUUCAGCCCUCUGAAAAGUGGCGGGUUGUGACAGACGGAGCCUACCUCGUCCUCCUUCACCUCUUCCGGUCCCAACGGUUGGACCGCGUUUACAGAGCUGCCGCAUCCCAUAUUCACCUGACGGCUACGGUGUGAAAUAAGUCCAUAAAGGUGAUAAAUGUCUGCUUUGAUUACA